AACGAACGCUGGCGGCGUGCCUAAUACAUGCAAGUCGCGCGAGAAAGUCCUUCGGGAUGAGUAGAGCGGCGCACGGGUGAGUAAUGCAUAGGAACGUACCUACAGGCGGGGAAUAACCACGGGAAACUGUGGCUAAUACCGCAUAACGACGAGAGUCCAAAGCAGGCCUCUAUUUAUAAGCUUGCACCUGUAGAGCGGCCUAUGUCCCAUUAGCUAGUUGGCAGGGUAAUGGCCUACCAAGGCAACGAUGGGUAUCUGGUCUAAGAGGAUGACCAGCCACACUGGAACUGACACACGGUCCAGACUCCUACGGGUGGCAG
rnacentral:rRNA from 1 species